rnacentral:rRNA from 1 species
UACGGGGGGAGCAAGCGUUGUUCGGAUUUACUGGGCGUAAAGGGCGCGUAGGCGGCCACCGCAAGUCGACUGUGAAAUCUCUGAGCUUAACUCAGAACGGCCAAGUGAUACUGCAGUGCUAGAGUGCAGAAGGGGCAAUCGGAAUUCUUGGUGUAGCGGUGAAAUGCGUAGAUAUCAAGAGGAACACCUGAGGUGAAGACGGGUUGCUGGGCUGACACUGACGCUGAGGCGCGAAAGCCAGGGGAGCAAACGGGG